UACGGGGGGGGCAAGCGUUGUUCGGAAUUACUGGGCGUAAAGGGCUCGUAGGCGGCCAACUAAGUCGGAUGUGAAAUCCCCAGGCUUAACCUGGGAAUUGCAUCCGAUACUGGAUGGCUUGAAUCCGGGAGAGGGAUGCGGAAUUCCAGGUGUAGCGGUGAAAUGCGUAGAUAUCUGGAGGAACACCGGUGGCGAAGGCGACUCGCUGG
rnacentral:rRNA from 1 species